CUAUUGAACUCAUUUCCAUUUCCAACUCCAUUGAAUUUGAACUCUAUUUUGUUGCCACCGUGGUUACUACUGCAAGAGUGAAGAAUGAUCGGAAAUAAUGCUGCUGCCGUUGAUCGGAGAUGCCAAACUAUUGCUGCUACUACUUUGAGAUGAUAUGGCUGCUAUUAAGGUUGUUGUUCAUGAGUGCAGCAUUCCCAAUUUCUAUGGAUUUCGAUACUUUGAGGUAGGGGAUUUAACGUUUUUAAUUUAGAAUGCCUACAAAGUUAUUGGAUAAGUGCAAAUGGUUAAUAAUAGUUAAGAAAUUCUGAAUUGACAAGAAUGACUUGAAAUGUGUUUGAGAAUGGUUAGCUAUUGUGAUGAUUUGAAUUAAAUGUGGUUGUGAACGGUGAUUAAACUGGUAAUAUUGAUUUUGAUUUGAGGCUGUAACUAUUACCGAUUUUCUAAUUGUUUGGAAUUAUUGAGAAUCCUGUUAUUUGAUUAUGUUGAGCUGGUUGCCAUAAGCUGGUUUGCUUGAUGGUUGUAAACUGACUGAAAUUCUUAUCUUUGACAGAUUUAUAUUGAAUUGAAUGAUGUGCUGGUUAUUUGAUAUAGUGUAACGGUAGUGGAUUUGUUGGAAAUUCUGAUCUUAUGUGAUAUUGCUGAAUUGGUUGAAAUCUGGUUGUGAAUUGUAUUUUGAAUUACUGUUUUUCUUGUGAUAAGUUGGCUGAGAUUUUGAUCUUGAAUGAAUUACUUUGAAUUCACUACAAGAAAAACACCCAUUCAAGUACACUUGAAAAGUGUAGCCAAAAGUGAAAAAAAAUGAUGCCUUAGGCUACGGCUAUGCUUUUUGGGCUACGGCUACGCUUUUUGGGGUGAUUCCUAUUCGGCCGUUGCCUAUUCUCAAAGACUACGCUUUUCUGCACCAAGGGCUACGCUUUUGGCGUUUGGGAAUAGGCUACGCUUUUCAAGUGAUGCUAUCUAGGACCAAAGGCUACGCUUUUCAGCUUUCAUUUUUCCAGAAUAGGCUACGCUUUUCAACGCUACUGCAUCACUUGUAAAACGUAGCCACAUUGUAUACCAUAGCUACUAGGCUUAGCUUUGGGAUUGCAAUGAUCUUAUUGAUAACUGCCACAAGCAUGAGUAAGAGGCAGCCUUAUAGGAUAGGUUGGUUGAAUGGUGAAUACUACCUAGUCAAAAGGGGUGUUUAUGCCGGCUCAACCAUAUUGAUCCUAGUAACCGUAGGUUCGGUAAUUGGUUUGGUUUUGUUAACCAUAAAGGCCAAUCAAACAGAACAAGAUUGUAAAAUACAUGGACAAACAGGUUGAGGAAGAAUUGAUCAUCCAAUUAUUAUACUUAGAAAGAUCCCUUACAAGUUGCUAAGGUAAAAAUCCAAGUUCACAUUCCAAAGACAUGCUUUCAAAGGAAUACUAAUAUUAUAAUAAUAGUUGUUCAUUAAAAAGGGUUGCCACAUCCAAUUAAGAUGAGUAAACAUGCUUGUAUAAAAAUUUAAGUGCUGUAUAAAUUUAAGUACAAAAAUAUUAUAAUAAUAGUUGUUAUCAUCACAAAAAGGAAUUGAUUCCCAUAACCAGUCAUAUGCAUAGUCCCCCAAAGAUGCAUAAAGUGCUGCAGCUAAAUUUAAGUAUAAAAAUACGCAUACAAACACACAUGGUAUAAUAAUAGUAACUGAGCAUUGUCAUAUGAAUUGCAAGUACCAGAAAAAUUUCAUCUCCAGUGGCAUAUCUCCUUGCAUGAUCUUUCAGUAGCUUUUCAAGUGCUGAAAAUAAUGAAAAAUAUGCAACAUUUAAUUAAGGCAAGAAAAAAAAUCACUCAAAUGAAUAAUUGGUUUGGAAGUAACAAACCAGAAUAUAUCUUAAUGGUAUUCAGUGAAGUGUCACCUGUGAAGCCCUUUCUAAUGACACUUUGUGCCCAAGGAAGUUUUUCAUGAGGGCCAACCUUUUUUCUCAAUGACGUUAUUCUGCAAAACAAUAUGUGCAACCUGUGGAGAGUGGAUAAGAUGAUUAGAAAGCCGAGUAACAAAAAGGACUAGAGCUUAAGAUUAUGCAGCAGGUGUACCUGAAAAUUGAGUGCUCUUUUGGGAACGUCAUGAGGUAGCAAAGGGUAUUGAGGAUACUUAUCGUCCAAAUACUGCAUACAUAGAGAACAUGAAUAAUUGAAUAUAAAUAAGAAUAUAUAAGAGAAACAGGGAAAUUAAAAUCAUGAGUUGGAGGACCAACCAUAAUAAUGGCUAAGGAUUCAGCAAGAACAAAAUCUCCAUCCACCAGAAUAGAAAUUAAAGCAAGAGGAUUCAACUCGAGGAACUCUAAUGGUUGUUUAAACAAGGCAAUUUAACAAUACAUGUAAUAGAAAUAAAUACAGAGCAUAGGUUUAGAACAAACCGGGGUCAGAUUUGGAGGAAAAGCAAAAAGAAUAGCAAUCCAAUGCAGCAACCAGCAGGGGAAAGAAUGUUAAUGCUACCAGCUAAAGAUCCUUCACUCUUUGAAAAAUCAAGUUCUUCCUCAACGAGAAAAUGAAAAGGACAAAAAAAAGAAAACAGAGAAGGAAGAAAACCGACAAACACAAGAUCCAUUAAGCUUGCGCUAGUUGAGUCAGACAGCACAACAGAAAUUGAAGUAGAGUACUGAACAAGCAUCCAUUCUUUAAGCUUGACAGAGCACAUGUGAGCAAGGAGAAAGUAAGUAUCCAACUGCCUCUGUAAUUUGAAGCUGAUAACACAAAAUAAUGUCCUUAGUGAGAAGCAAAGAAUCUAAUCAAAGAAAAUAUUAGAAUAUAUCUACCCAAUCUUCAGCACUUAACUGUCGAAGUUAUUGCACCAGGAUAUAAAUUGGCUUCAGCACUUCAGUUAAUUAUCUGCAUUAACCCUUCAUAGAACUUCAUCAUACAUAUUUUGAAUUUAUAUCUCAUUUUCAUGAAAAUGUCACAUUAUGUUUUAUUAGAAAAUUUGCAGAAAAGGAGGAAAAAAUGCAAUGAUUCCUCCAAUGCAUGAAACUUCAUAAAGAGAGGUUAUCUGAGCAACAUAUUCAGUAGAGAGGCUAUCUGAGCAACAGAUUCCUCCCUUAGUAAUUAUUUCUUGGGCUUCUUUUUUCUGAAUAUCUGAGCAAUAGAUUUAGUAGAGAGGUUAUCUACAUGUUGAUACAAUAGUCAAAGGUACAAAAAACUGCAUUGUAGAUUAUAUCAAUUUAAUUAAAUACCAUAACAAUCAUUGGGAAAACAAGUUGCUAUUUUCUUCUCAUCCACAUAGAGAAGAACCUACUUGAAAUGAAAUCACAUUCGCUAUAGAAAAUUAAAUAAAUACAAAUCAAACCUGAGAAUGACUCCAAUCUCUUAACUCACAGCAGCCUCCACAUCAUAAAGCAACAAUAAAAAUCAUUGAGAGAUUCAAAAUUACAAUAAAUCCUGCCACAAAGUAUACUAGUAAAAAGGUUUCCUUUUAGUCAUAAUUUAAUAUACCCUUCCCAAUUUCCAAAGAUGCUCUUCCUAUAAGAAAUAUACUAGCAAAUUCAAAGUUAAAAAGUUACUCAAUAAUCCCUGAAGACAACUCUAAAAUUGGAACCAAAACUCCAACUCUAUUUGGCACUAAGGAAUCCACUUGCUUUACUUGUAAUCAAGCAUUUUUUAUAGCUGUCUUGUGCAAAAAAAUUAAAUUAAAAUAAGGUAGAUACAUAGCUUAAAUCAGUAGCUACAAUGCAACUAAAAGAAAGAGUAAUGCUAAACCUCAGAAUCAAAAACACCAGAAAUGAUGAAGCUCAAACAUGUUCCAGUUAUUCCAUUCCAGCACAAGGGCAUGUGAACCCUCUAAUGCACUUGUCUCAUAAAUUAGCACAACAUGGCUGCAAAGUUAUCUUGCAAGAAAAUAUGCAAGAGCUCAUUGAUGAUGGAAUCAUGGAUACCAAUGGUAAGAGUUAUAAUUUUCACUCUUUACUCAACUUUACAAUUUUGGAUAAAUCACAAAAACUACUCAUGCUAAAUUUCAUAGAAUCUACAGAACAUUGAGAACAUUAGAUCAGUGUAAUAAAUCAAGAGAGUAAAGAAAGCAUAGUGGAUUGGCAAAGUUAGCAAAAGCAAAUGAUUCCAAACCAGCUAACAUGCUCUUAACCAUGAUUCAAUUCAAUUCAACUCAACCUAGUGUUCUUCAUUCACAUUAAUUAUAUAUGAUCUGUUAAACACGAUUUUACAAUGAAAUAAUAUGUUGAACUGAUUAUGGCGAGAUAUAUUAUCUGGUAUUAAUCAACCCAAUUAAUUAGCAGAUGGAUCAAAAUCGAAUUGAGAAAACUAAUCCAAAUAGAAACCGGAACCUGAAGAAGAGGUCUGGGGAGAUUGCAGCAGAACUUUUCAAAAGAGAGAAUUGCAUCCGUACCCUUGGCGUCGAAAAUGGCACCGAUGAAACACCUGAAGAGACUUUGAAAUUGAAAUUGAAAUGAGAAUGAAAUGAAAGUUGGAGAGGGAGAGGGUUGGGAGUAUGAACAGGAAGUAAUCGUAGAAGCCGAAAGUGAGGACAGGAGCACGGCAAGCCCUAGCAGCGGCGGCGGCUUCAAUUGACCUCAGGAGCGACGACAGUGCACGGCGGAACAACCUCCUCUCUCGCGUCGCGUCUUCGUCCUCUCUCUCCAUCUAGUCUGCGAAUCAUCUUUCUCUCUCUCCUCCAGACUCCCUCCUCCACGAUGGUGAUGGCGGCGGCUGCAGCGGUGACCCCCUCUCACUCUCUGGUCUCUCACUCGCGCUCUCAUCUCUGUCUUCCUCUUCUCCUCCCUCUGGUUCCCUCAUUCUGAAUCUGGGUGUGUGUGUGUGAAAGGGUGCGUGGCGAAGGUGAGCUUUGGAGGCAGGAAGGGUUUCUACUUCGCGAUGGUGACUUUGGAGGGAAUGGGGGGCGACGAGGGUUUACGAAAGUGGAUGAAGGUGCUUUGGAGGUGAGUGAGAUUUGGAGGGAAUGGACAAAAAUUUUACUAAGUGUCAUCAGUUUGCUUUCAGGAAAAAGAGGAAAAAAAUUUACUAAGGGUUAAGUUUUUUGCUCUAGAUACAUUAGGCAUCAUUUUUAAAAUGCACCCAAAACUUAAUAAAUAGGCUACUCUUUAAAAGCGUCUCCUUUGAUACGAAAAGCGAACCUAUAGAUAUCAACCUACGGCUAUGCUUUAUAAGUGAUUUCUAUAAUACCUAAGGCUACGCUUUUUAAACGAUGCCGCAUUUGUGUAUCCUUUUCUCUUAUAAAAAGGCAACACGGAGAAAAGCGUAGCCUAUUCUAUGAAUAGGCUACGCUUUUCAAAUGUAGCUUAAAAAAAGUGUGGCUGAAUGAAUAUUUUUCUUGUAGUGAUUGUUUGAUAUUGAAUUAGAAAUUUAAUAUAUUGGGAUGGCUGUAAAAUGGAUUUGUGACAGAUUGGAAUUGGUUGAACUGUGGCUGCGAUUAGUGAUUUAUUUAAGUUUACUUAUUAAAUUAAGAUAUGAAGAGUUAAUCAUUGAACGAAAUGUAUUUGAGAAGAGUUAGUUGUGGUGAUUAUUCUGAGUUAUGAUUGAAGUUGGAUACGAAUGUGAAUUGAGUUUGGGUUAUGGCUGUGAUGUUGACUAGUUUCGUUGUCGUGAGUAAUUAAUUGAUGAGAUUUGCUUUAGUUUGAAGCUGUAAUUGAUAUUGGUGUUUUCUGAUUUUGAUGAGAUUGUUGAAAAGUUCUGAUUCUAUGUGAUUAUACUGAAUUAGUUGAGUUGUGUGGCUGUAUUCUGGUUAUGGAGAGUAAGUGCUUGUUGUUGUUUUUAGUUAUUUGAUGUAUUGGAAUGGCUGUAAAAUUGACUUGCGACUGGUUGGAACUGGUUUUGGUAGUUGUUAAUGUUGGUUCAUGAUUAAUUAGAAUUAAGUUUGAGAACUGUUAAUAGAUUGAAGCUUGAUUAUUAAAUUUAUCUUAUGAAAUCUGAAUUUAAAGAUAAGAACAGUAACUCUAAAAGUAUAAGGAUAACUUGUGAUAAUUGGGAAUUAUAUGGAGCAGAAUUUUUGGGUGAACGUAUUAUAAGAGAAUUAGAAUUAUGUAAAUAAUACAUACUAUGUGUUUUGAUGUCAAUAUUGCUAAGAUUCUGGUUAAGUUAGGUGAUAAUGUGUUUUGGGUGUUUGGAAAGUGCAAAAUUGUUAAUCCUUUGGUUAAAAUAAUUUAUGAAUUGAUCAAAUUGAAGUUGGGUAGAUGGAGUAUGUGGAAGUUGCGGAUUAUGGCUGAAUUAUUAACUAUUGCGGAUUGUUAAAUUUCUGAUUGAUUUAUUGUGAUAAUUGUUGAGAAAGGUUCGAUGAGAUGUUGAGAAAGAGGGAACUCGUAAGGGUGGCUAAGUCCGAGUUUUAGGGGGGGUGCUGCCGAAAUUUUAUGAAAAUCUGAGGUUUCAUUUGAAAAGUUAUUUUAGAAGCUUUGAAUUUGGAAAAUUAUAUUACUUGAGUUUUAUUUAGUUAAGAAAGGAAUUAUAAUAUUUUGAGUUCGAUUUACCAAAGAAAAUUCUGUAAAGUUUUAAUGACAGAAAAAUAGACAGAGAUUAGUGAACGAACUAGGGCAACAUAGUUAGUUCUUGAGUUGCGACUAGGGUUAGGUAUAACAUGAAAAGUUAAACUGUUUCAGUAUAGACUUAAUGAACCUAUACUUGGGACAGGCUAACUAUUCAUUCCGAAAUUUACAUAAGCCUUAAAUAUAUACGUUAAGCAGAGAAAUCAGAGCAGAAUAGAGAAAUAUAAAGAACAGAGUAAUCAGAGUAGAGUAAAGAGAUAAAGAGAAGAAGAGUAACAUAGAUAUAAAGGAAAGAGAUAAAGAGAAAAGUAAAGAGAUACAGAGAACAGAGUAACCAGAGCAGAGUAAAGAGAUACAGAGAAAAGAGAAACCAGAACAGAGUAAAGAGAUAUAAAGAGAAGAGUAAUAUAAUAAAAAGAUAUUUAUAUAUAUAUUAGUUGCUUGAUGCAACCCAGAGCUAUAUUUAUAUAUAUUAGUUGCUUGAUGCAACCCAGAGCUAAGAGGCUGUCUCAGAUGAGCAGCUAUUAUUAUAUGUGCAUUUAUUUAGGAACGGAAAAUCGUAUCCGGAAAAUCGAGAUUACUCGUGACCGGGUAAAUGUCGGAAUUGCGGGCAGCCAACCGACACGUGAGCUCAUGGCCUGCUUAGGACAGACAUGCAUCAUAUUGUUUGUGCAUAUGCAUUUAAUCGUGUUGCUUAUCUUGUUUCUUUGUGAUUGUGCUGCUUGUCUUGGUGACUUGCUUGUGUGUUUGAUUAGAUAUUUUUGUUGAUGCUUUGAACUUAGUGAAGUAUUGAGGAAUGGUAUUUGUGAAGUGAGGUUUGAGUAUAUUAUUUAUGUUGCUGAUUUACUUAGUUAUUGUGAUGGUUGAGGAAUGUUAUUUGUAGCUGAAGAAUUGCUAAUGCGGUUGAGACUUUAUUUAAGUAAUAUGAUUUAAAGAAAGGGAUUUAAACGGUUUCAAGUAAGUCUUAAGAAAUUUUGAAAAGGUUUGAUAAAGAAAACUACAUUGGAAACUGGAGUUAAUUAUUUGCAUGUUAAUCAUUACUUUUACGGCAUUCCCAUUCCCUACUGAGAACGUGUGGUUUGUUCUCACCCCAAAAUUUUCCACCCUUUCAGUGACACAGGUUCAAAGACACAGUGUGAAGCUGGGGCGAUUAUAGAAUUUGUUUAUGAGUUAAGUGUGAGUUAAUUUGCUUUCAUAGAGUUCCCUCGCCCCUAUUGCUUAAGAUUUUUAUUUUGUACUGAGGGAUA
rnacentral:lncRNA from 1 species